GGAGAAGGGAUAUAGUGUUUCAUCUGAAAGUAACAAAGUUAAAGUUCAUAUAUCUAUGGAAGUAUAAGUCAUAGUUCCUGAGAUUUUGUUCAUAAAUGCGUCUUGAAUAACCAGGUUGUCCUGAUAAAAAUAAGGUCAUCUUGACCCACAAUUCAUAUAUGAGUGACUGAUUAAAGUUUGAGUUAGAGUCCAUAUCUGAGAUACAAGUUGUGGAGAAAUAAUAUGUUGUCAGUCUUUAAAAGUCAGGAGGAUCCUUAAAAUAUGUAGGCAUUAUAUUCGUGAUUAUUCUUGCCCGAGCGAUAGUGAGGGCUAAAAUAACUCAAAUAUAAUGCAUACCAAUAAUUCAUCGUAUCUAGGUCAAAUAUGUCGAUUUCGAAAUGCAACACAUUACAGUCAUAAUAUGAAUUAGUAACAACAUGUGCAUCAUUUAAGAGUUUGGAAGUGUUUUAAAUUAAUGAAAUUUAUUAAACGCAUGCCAAUUUGAUAAAAUUAAGUGUUCUGCAGUAGUCAAUAUACGCAUGUGCAAAAAUAAAUAUUGGAUUUAGAGCAUGGGCUUAUUCAUAAAGCGAAAGAAGCACGUCAUAUUAGAAUAUUAGAUAGUAAUCUAAAUCACAAGUAUAUCAAUACUUGACAAUUGUGAUUUGCACUAACUAACAUGAUUGUUCAAUGGAUUUAUGUUUAACAUCUGUAUGUAUUAAAAUGUGUAACAUUAUAUCUAAAACCUGGUUAAUUUACUUUUUUUAAAGACACUAGUUUAUA
rnacentral:lncRNA from 1 species